AUUGAACGCUGGCGGUAUGCUUAACACAUGCAAGUCGAACGGUAGCAGGCCUUCGGGCGCUGACGAGUGGCGGACGGGUGAGUAACGCGUAGGAAUCUGCCUCAUAGUGGGGGACAACGUGGGGAAACUCACGCUAAUACCGCAUACGCCCUACGGGGAAAGCGGGGGAGUCUUCGGACCUCGCGCUAUGAGAUGAGCCUGCGUUAGAUUAGCUAGUUGGUAGGGUAAAGGCCUACCAAGGCGACGAUCUAUAGCUGGUCUGAGAGGACGAUCAGCCACACUGGGACUGAGACACGGCCCAGACUCCUACGGGAGGCAGCAGUGGGGAAUAUUGGACAAUGGGCGCAAGCCUGAUCCAGCAAUACCGCGUGUGUGAAGAAGG
rnacentral:rRNA from 1 species